GAGUAAAGCGGCGCACGGGUGAGUAACACGUGGGUAACCUACCCUCGAGUGGGGGAUAACCUGGGGAAACCCGGGCUAAUACCGCAUAACAUCUUCUGGACUGCGGUUCGGGAGAUCAAAGGAGCAAUCCGCUUGUGGAGGGGCCCGCGGCCGAUUAGCUAGUUGGUGAGGUAACGGCCCACCAAGGCAAAGAUCGGUAGCCGGUCUGAGAGGACGCACGGCCACACUGGAACUGAGACACGGUCCAGACUCCUACGGGAGGCAGCAGUGGGGAAUCUUGCACAAUGGCCGAAAGGCUGAUGCAGCGACGCCGCGUGAGUGAUGAAGCCCUUCGGGGUGUAAAGCUCUUUCGGCGGGGACGAUAAUGACGGUACCCGCAGAAGAAGCCCCGGCAAACUACGUGCCAGCAGCCGCGGUAAUACGUAGGGGGCCAGCGUUGUUCGGAAUUACUGGGCGUAAAGAGCGCGUAGGCGGUGCGAUUAGUCUGGUGUUAAAUCUCCCGGCUCAACUGGGAGCUGUCGCCGGAAACGGUCGUGCUGGAGUG
rnacentral:rRNA from 1 species